AGCAGCUGAAUGAGGAGCUUGAGUCGGUGCGAGCUGAGAGCGAGCGUCUCCUGUCUGAGAAGACAGACAGCCCUCAGAAUCAUGCAGAGGAGUUGGAGAAGCUGCUCUCCACUGUAACAUCACUGACUGAAGAGAGUGACCAGCUCCAGGAGAUUCUGGGUGGAGUCAAGAGAGGAGAGGAACCAGCUCAAGCGAGAACUGGAGGAGAAUGUGGAGAUGUCUUUGAACCAGUCCAUCAAAUAAAGUCCAGGAGGAGCUGAAACAGCAGCAACAUCUCAACUCUGAGCAGCAGGCUGAGACAGAACAACAAACAACUCAACUUCAGCAACAACUCAUACAGGUCCAGAGGACAUUAGAACAGCAGCAACAUCUGAACACAGAACAGCAGGCUGAGAGAGAACAAGAGGCCCUACUUGAACAACAAGUCCAGCUUCUUGAAGAGCAGUUGAAGAUGAUGGGAGCCAGGUGAAGAGCAACCUUCAUGACAGUAUGGACAUGUGAUGCAAAUGCCACCAUCUCCAUAUUGACAGAGCAGUUCAAUAACAUGGAGCGCGAAGUGUUUUACCACUAGCGAAGCAGAGGGAAUUUGCUCCAGACUGGAGGCUUCCACUCAGCAGCUCCAGGCGUCCUUCGUGAGUCUCCAGCUUGUUAUCAAUGGUGCUUCAAAGCCUGGACAUGGGCCCCUGGUCGAUGUCACACAAAUUGACGAAGUCAUGAUACUGAAACUGUUGUUCCUUCUUCUGAAGUCCACCAAAAACCUCUGUAACAAUGUCAAUAGAGCUACAGUCCAGAUAACUAAUGCGGCUUGGGAUACGAAGGUGCUGCUGUAUGCCAAGGAUUACAAAACACACUUUGAAGCCCUGGUCCUGAAUGACUUGGCUGUAUUUGAGGAGAAGAGACUGCAGCACCUGCUCAUCUGUAGAACCCAGGCACCCAGUCACUCAGUCAAGGUGGCUGAGAACGAAUUCCUUGGAGUCUGAGACCAGAGACUGUCAGAGCUGCUGGACAAGAGUGGCGAUUACCUCCAGAAUAAUAAUAUUUUGGAUAAGCUUAAGGAGUGCCUGUCCACUCACCCAGCAGUGGUGUCAGAGGGCGUGAGAGAGGAGCAAUGAGGAGGCUGAGUGCUCUAUGCAUGGUCCACUCACCUGGCUCGUCAGCUGUGGAGAGCUUCCUGGCUCGUCAGCUGUGGAGAGCUUCCCGCGGCAGAGCUGGCCCAGCGCUCUGCCAUGGCACAGGCCAACACAUGGGCUCUCCAGGGAUUGUGAGAUGAGCACUGUGGUCUGCUGAAAGAGCUAGGUGUGGUCCGAGCACAGGCUGACAGUCAGCUGAAAGAAGAGCGGAGUAAGACCUUUACUCUACUGCAGAUACUGGAGAAUGUCCCAGUCAAGACUGAAGCUGACCAGCUGAGGUACAACCAGCAUCUUGCCAUUCAAUGUCAGCAUUUGGAGGGAGAAAUCAAGGAAAUGCAAAUGAGAGUUGAGCACCAGAUUAAAGCUGCUAAUAGGGUCUCAAACCACAAACAAGCCACCCAGCUCCUACGAACUGAGCUUCAGGAUGCUUGUGCACAAGUCAAGGAUAGGGAGGGCUCUAUCCAAAUCCUCAAAGAGAGACUGACGUUCUGGCCAAGAGAAGAGCAUCACCUAGUGCUCUUGAGCUUGAAAAGCUGAAUGCUAAAGUUGUGAAGAUGGAGAUGACUGUAUUGUCCUCUGAACACCAAGAAGAGUUACUGAGGAUGACCACGCUCCUGAACCACAAGGAGGACGCUCUGAGGACGCUGAAGGAGACUCUGAGAAGAUCACAGCAGGAGGGAGAACAUUUAUUCAUGGGGGGAGAGGAUCUGCAUGCCAGACUGACAACCACCAGAGGACGUACGGUCCAAAGCAACAUUCUCCUUGAAAAGAACAAACUUGAGGAAGUGAAACGGCUACAAAAAAUAAUUUCUGAAUUGGUGAGCCGUGUUUCCACUCAGCAAGGAGAUAUUUCCAAGUGGAAGGCUAGAGCAGUUAAGCUGAAGGAGAGGAGGGACGUGGUUGAAACACCUCCAUCUGCAUGUACUCAUACAAAACGACGCCUUCCCAUGACUCCUGAGGACCUCAACUCUCCCAUGAAGUUCCUUCACUCUCCCAAGAAGUUCCUCGACUCACCCAAGAGAAAGUUCUUUGAUGUCCGUCCAGGCUCUGAAUGUCGAUUAACUGUCCCAGGCAGUUUUUUGAUAACUCCAACCUUGGAACCGUUCAAGAUGCAACUGUGGAUUAAAAAGGAGGAAUGGUGGCCUGUCACCAAAGCAAGCUGAUCUAUGCAAACAGCAGUAAAUGAUUUGCCUAAAUUGCACUAAUCAUUCAUUGUUUAUCUAUUUUUCAAUAUUCAAAGUGUUUGUUUUCGAUAGCCUUAUAUUUUAAAAUAAAGAGCAGUUUAUUUUAAUAAGACUCAUCUUUACCUGCUCUCUCUGUAAUAGCACUUUCAGAUGUUCUGACAGCAGAUGGCAUGCUUACACCAUUUUGUUUGAGAAUGUUUUAUUUUGACAACGAUGGAGGAUUUUAAACUUGGUGUCUAUGCAAAGUGGUCUUGAUGUUCAGUUUCUUCCAUUAAUAAUUUUCAGACUAAUACUUUUACAUUUCUAACCGUAGAUUGCAGUUUUUGAGGAUAUUGUACAUUCAUGGGACUUUAAUGACUCCUCAUUGGAGUUAAAUUACAUUUUU